GGAUGCUAACGGCACAUGCAGAACCCAAGUCUGUCUUCUUAUAAAGACGCUGCUCUCAUCACUAGCACUGCAGCUGGACAAAGGGCUUGGAAGGCAGGUUGAGACUUCCCGCCUUACUCCUGGAAUGAUGGCUGAAGCCAGGAUGACUUCUAAUCAUGUGCGACUUUUUACCUUAAAAACAUAUUGGAGGCUAGAGAAGGCUAAAUGUCUGGGGGAAUAAUUUCAUCUCAGGAAUCCGAUAAAUAUUAUUUCAAUGUCUAUGAUAAGGAAUUGGCACUUUCCCCCCAGCCGGUGAGCUCAGUGGUUGGCAUUGUCCCGUGAACCAAGAGGUCACCCGUUUGAUUCCCCAUCAGAGCACACGCCCAGGUUGCGGGCUUGAUUGCCAGUGGGGGUCAUGCAGGAGGAAGCUGAUCGAUGUUUUUCUCUCAUCAAUGUUUCUCUCUCUCUCUCCCUCUCCCUUCUUCUCGCUCUAAAAUCUAUUUUAAGAAAAGGAUCGGCACUUUCUGUUUGUUUUUGGCCGUGGUGUUUGCGGUGACUCUCAAACUCCAUGCACACAUUCAUCAAAUGCGGACCCAGGCGCUCUCUCAGAGCCGGGCGUCCUGUGUCUGGCUAUCACUGCUUCGUCUCUUCCCUCGAGAAGAAUCUGAAACGAGUUUCAAAAGAGUAAAGUCCUUGACUGACUGAGAGCAGCUCCGGUCGGGAGAGUUUUGAAUCUGGACUCCAGCUCCCCUCUUGCCUCGCGGCAGGGUGGGCGCGUGCUCUGGUCCUGAGCAGCCAGCUUUCGUUCGUAUUUGUUUCCUAGCGAGUUACUGUUUCCUGUACAGACUUGGAGGUGUAGAGGGAGAGCACGCGUAGUGUCUGUAGGUAUCCCAUCUCUUCCCACUUCUCUAUUCCAGCGUUGACCUGCACUCCCACCACCUCGGGACUGGCAGAGGGAAAGCCACGCCUUCCACAGUAGGACCAGCCAUGUCAUCGAAAUGGAGGAGAUGCAUUACUGAAACGAGCCGUGGUCAUACUAGGCAGCACGUACAGGCAGAAAGAGGCCCACCGUCAUUGCCCAGGAAUCUGGAAGGAUCUGCAUGUAGCGGCUCCAGGCCCUCAGUGUAAGGCCCAGAGGUGCCCCCUGGAAGAGCUGGCACAUUGCAGAGUGCAGGACCCCGACCCAGCCCAGCGAGAGUCCUGGCUGCCCUGCUGCCUCCGGGGCUGGUGCAGUGUUUUAACACCCGUCUUAGGUGAGCAUCUGGGUCCCGGGCCAGUAAGAUGCCCCCUAAGUAUGUUACACUCUCUAAAACUAUGAAGACAACACGAAGUUAGAAUAUAACUACAAUGAGGACUUGAUUAAACCCAUCAGAGGCAGCAGAGGUUUGGGGCUGUGUGUCUUCCACUUGGGAAGACUGCACAUUGGGGAAGCUUUUAAAAGCACAGUGGGGCCUGCGGAAGGAAACACGGAGUUGCCGGCCUGUCUCAUCUGGGACCAGGCUCUCGGGGAAGGAAAGGCCCCUUGGAAGUUCCCGCCUUUCCUAGUGUAGCUCCUCGGGGCGCCAGGGCGGGCAGAUGGUGCUGGGCAGGGAGCAUGCAUGGUUGAUCGUACUUCAUGCCCGUUGGGUCCUGGGCAGAGAGCUGGGCAGCCACAUUCAGAGCUGGAUUCCAGGCAGGAAGUGUCCUGUGGGACACCGUUCACAAACCAUGCUGCUCAGGGCCAGUGAGACGGCUGGUGGGGAGCAGAGGGGAAGAGGACACCUAUCUCUGAAAAACAGCCAAUGGUAGUAACUGAUCCAGCGGGACAGAACGAAGCAGGAAAACCCGGGGGGUACAGAUCACGACGGCCCCUCUGUGUGGUCCUGUCCAAUGGGGUUAACUGCUGGCGCCCCCUUGAUCCAUCCUAAUUCACCCUCUUCAAUGAGCAUUACAUGCGUUGGCCUUCUAAUUGAUCUCCUAGUCUCAGGGCCAGUCACUCCCCAAACGAAGCCGCUCGCAGCUGGCAUGACCUCAGGAACCCUUGAGUCUGGUUUUGUAAUCACUGACCCUACUGGAAAGACUUGAGUUUCCUGGCAUACGCCUCUCUGACCUGCAGCUCUAGAUCCACCUGCUCAGGUGCCCGCCCUGCACACACCUUGUACACUCACCUCCACCCUCCCACACACUUCAAGCAUGAAAAUGUGCUCUUUAUUUUAUUUUUUAAAAAAUAUAUUUUAUUGAUUUUUUACAGAGAGGAAGGGAGAGAGACAGAGAGUUAGAAACAUCGAUGGGAGAGAAACAUCGAUCAGCCGCCUCCUGCA